rnacentral:rRNA from 1 species
AUUAAACGCUGGCGGCAUGCCUUACACAUGCAAGUCGAACGGCAGCACGGGGGCAACCCUGGUGGCGAGUGGCGGACGGGUGAGUAAAGCAUCGGAACGUAUCCUGGAGUGGGGGAUAACGUAGCGAAAGUUACGCUAAUACCGCAUAUUCUGUGAGCAGGAAAGCAGGGGAUCGCAAGACCUUGCGCUCUGGGAGCGGCCGAUGUCGGAUUAGCUAGUUGGUGGGGUAAAGGCCUACCAAGGCGACGAUCCGUAGCGGGUCUGAGAGGAUGAUCCGCCACACUGGGACUGAGACACGGCCCAGACUCCUACGGGAGGCAGCAGUGGGGAAUUUUGGACAAUGGGCGCAAGCCUGAUCCAGCCAUGCCGCGUGAGUGAAGAAGGCCUUCGGGUUGUAAAGCUCUUUCGGUCGGGGAAGGAAGUUAGCACGGGUUAAGUACCCUGUGUAGAUGACGGUA